GACGAACGCUGGCGGCGUGCCUAAUACAUGCAAGUUGAGCGCUGAAGGUUGGUACUUGUACCAACUGGAUGAGCAGCGAACGGGUGAGUAAAGCGUGGGGAAUCUGCCUUUGAGCGGGGGACAACAUUUGGAAACGAAUGCUAAUACCGCAUAAAAACUUUAAACACAAGCUUUAAGUUUGAAAGAUGCAAUUGCAUCACUCAAAGAUGAUCCCGCGUUGUAUUAGCUAGUUGGUGAGGUAAAGGCUCACCAAGGCGAUGAUACAUAGCCGACCUGAGAGGGUGAUCGGCCACAUUGGGACUGAGACCCGGCCCAAACUCCUACGGGAGGCAGCAGUAGGGAAUCUUCGGCAAUGGACGAAAGUCUGACCGAGCAACGCCGCGGGAGUGAAGAAGGUUUUCGGAUCGUAAAACUCGGUUGGUAGAGAAGAACGUUGGUGAGAGUGGAAAGCUCAUCAAGUGACGGUAACUACCCAGAAAGGGACGGCUAACUACGUG
rnacentral:rRNA from 1 species